GCCUGGGUGGCUCAGUGGGUUAAGCAACGGACUUUGGCUCCGGUCAUGAUCUCCCAGUUCGUGAGUUCGAGCCCCGCAUCAGGCU
rfam:Felis catus isolate Cinnamon breed Abyssinian chromosome D1, whole genome shotgun sequence.